rnacentral:ribozyme from 1 species
AAGAGGGAGAGAAAGAAGAAACCAAAGAAAAAAGGAGACUACUCGGCACAAAUGCAUCACUCAAACUUCUUUUCACCUUAAUCUUGUCUUCUUCUCCCUCUCCUUCUCCCCAAAAUCAAUCGGAAUCUUCCUCAAAUCAGGCAGAA